rnacentral:lncRNA from 1 species
AAGAAUACAGGGGUUCUCAGACGAUUAAUAUGAGGCUAUCAAUAUCUCAUCAAUAUAGAGCGGGCCGCUCGAUAUUGAUGGAUCAAAGAGCUGUGAUUGGUCGCACAAGCUGCGCGCGCAUCAUGACCUUGAUAUAUUGAUAGCUCAUAUUGAUCGUGUGAGAACCCCUUACGCCCGAUCCUAGGUCCAACAGGGUUGCCACAGUCAGCUAUAACAGGGAAAACUGGAAAAUUUCGGGAAAAUGACGGAAGCGUAGAGGGAAAGUUUUUAAAAUCUGAUUACUUGCUCUCUAGAAUGCAUUAGACGCUUCAGACAACAAAUAUUGCAUUGACCAUUCUGCAUAUUGUCAAAUGGCAGGGAAUUCCACCAAAAUUUUUCAGGAAAAUCAGGGAAUUUCAUUCUCUAAUUAUUGCAACAAAGGUGGUCCAAGAGAAGUCAUUUUUUUCUUUUCUUUUCUAGUUGUAUCUUUUUUAUGGUUGCAUUAAUUUUCUUUUGAAAUUUAAUUGGAUAAGGGCUUGGUCUAGGCUUACAAACAGUUGAACUAAAUCAAUAUACUAGAUGCCUAGGCAUAGGAAAAACGUAGGGUAGGGGGAAGGGAAACCUCCUUAUUUCUAGAUGACAGCGAGAGGAAAUUAACUGUCUCAUAUUUUAAUGAACUUCACAAUCCUCUCGUUUUUUUAAGCCUUUGUCUUUGCUAGUAUUAUUUUCAUUGUUCCGAGCUCUUCAAGGUUGUUGAAGUUGUCUUUGGCCAGCAAUUGAGUGAACCUCUUUUUUUAUUUUUCAGUUUCAAGCAUGAAACGGUCACAUGACUGCGUUGAUGAUUGGAUCAAUUCGCUUUGGGGAAGCAGCAGCUGUAGUGAAGAAGAAGAAGACUCCUUCAGUGAGUCAGAAAACAAGGCUGUGAUGACAGAACAAGUUGGUGUUCUAGAAAAAAUUCAAAAUGGUCUUUCAAAGAGCAAUGGUAAAUUCUCUUCCAACAGCAAAAGCAACUCAAGUAGUAAAAACAAAAGAUGGAACAAACAAAUCAUCACAUGCGUUGAAAAGAAGCGCCCAAUACCUCGUACUAGAAAACGUUCAAAACAGUAUUAAAUUUUUCUGCUUAAUGUGCUUUGUAAGUAUUAAAUAAUUUUUACUUUACUCCAUUUAUCCACCGAGGAAUAAUCUUCAACUGACACUGGUUUACAAUAACGUGGGUUCUACUGAAAAAGUUAAUUACCUCUUGAACCCAAUGUGUAUAUUCUGAAUCAUACCUUAUCGUAACAUCGGCAGUUUAUGUUAUGAUUGCCAAGUUUUCCAUGUUUUGCUCUGCCAUAUUUUCCACGUUUAUGUACCAAUUCACCAUCAUUUUUUUGAUGAUACACUAUAGCCUUGUAGGAUGUUUCUUAUCGUGCGGUUUAAGAAAUCUCGUCAGCACUGCCUUCAAGAACAUUCUAAGUACUGGGUCUGUUGUUUGCAGCUAGUGAACAGCGCAGAUUCUGCACUAAAGAGUGAGAUCAGACUAGAGCUCUGUCGUUCAUGACUUGACUCGUUUAUAUGAACGAAUACAGAAAAUGAACGAGUCACGCUUUCAGAUCACGCCAAAUGAUCCGACUAAUUGUGAUCCAUUAAGCGCUGCGUCUCCUCUGAAUAUCUGCGAAGACAAUUAUUUUUUUAAAUGUACAACAAAAUAUUUUAAGAAUUAGCUGAGGAAUGGGAGCACUCACUGAGAGCCACACGACUAAAAUCAAUGGGAUCCUAAGAAAGGAUCGCAUGAUUUGACACAAUCUAGCCGGUCAUAACCUCAUAACAACUCAGCUCGUUCACAUGACCGAGAUGAUCUGUAAACCCUUAUUGUUCGUUCAUUGUUAUUCGUCUUGUUCCACGGCUCAUUUGAUCCAAAAACUCUUAUUCGUUCAUUUUAAAUAUUUUGAUCCGUCUCCUUCUACGGCUCAUUACGGUUCAUGCCCAUGAUCUAACUGAUUUGUUGUUUGGCCCUUAGUCGUAACUACAAAACAGAGUUGAAUUACUUCGCUAUUUUGAAAUUGCUGCGAUCUUCUGGUAUUAAUUACAUGCACAAAGAGAGAGACUGAAGACCAACAGUGAGUAAUAUUUUGAUGCAUGCAAUCUGAUAAAUGGGAUCUAAGAUAAUAAUUGGAUUCAUGUCGAUCGAAAAGUAUACCUACCCAUCGGAUUUUUCGUAUCAUUUUCGGACUUUUUUUCAAAGAUCCAAAAACUUGAUUUCGGACUAAAAUUUUCGGUGGAGCUUUGAUUUACAGAAAUAUAUAUUCAAGCAAAGUCAGACCCAAUAGUUCUGCCCAAAACCAGAUGAAAGCAGUGGAAAAGAGACCUUUACUAAGUACCUCUCUAGUCCUUUCGGGGCAAAAUUUUCAAUACAAUUUGCCAAAUUUUAUUGUUUUAAACCCUUGACAAACGGAUUUGCAUGGAGCACUUUUAGUAGGAUACAGAACUGUAUUUUUACAAAAUUUUAAAUAAAUUACUUGAACCUGCAGUUAUUUUCUGAGUUCUCUAGAAGGAGGAAAUCAUUAGAGGUACAAGAAAAAUUGUAACAUAGUUUUUUAAUAAGUAAGAUCUUAUUUAUUUAGUUAAUGAAAAUUUAAGAAAGAAAAGUUGAGCAACAAAUAUUCUUCUGACAACAAGUUAAAUACCUACAUAAAUAAAAUAAAUAACCAUUGCAUCAGUAGAAAACAAGAAAAAUAAAUUAUUUCCAAAGAAAAUUUAUUUAACCUAAAACAUCACAGGAGAUACUUUAUUGAGGCAUUGAUCAUAACGUUGCAAUUUAUAUGCUAGGGCAGGUACACUUUAGAAGAGUCAGCAUCAAAAGAAAUAAAGGAACAAAAAAAUGAAUACUGUCUAUGACUUGGAAUUAAUUAUAAAUAUCUUGCUGACGCACAAAAUUUAAAGUAAUAAAAAAAAGAAAAAGUAGGAAAAUAAAUUAUCAUGGCAAUCUCUUACUAAUACUGAACAAAAUGCAAGAGACAAUUGGGGGAGGCGUCAGUUAAUGUUCCAAGUAAGGCACUGGGGCAGGUGCACUUAAAAUUUGUAAUAGAGAGAUCAGCGCCAAAGGAGAUCAAGGAACUAAAAACACAGAUUGCCUGUCUCUUGAAGUUAAUUCUAAAUACCCAUCUGACUCUUAAAAUUCAAAUGAAAAAAGAAAUAAGAAAAAUUAGGAAAAUAACCAUGAUAAUUGAUAUUUGACUAUGUUUAGAAGUUCCGAGAAACAUUUGAAGGAGACAUCAAUUAACGUUCCAGUGUAUGUGCUGGAAGAGAUGCAAUUUCACUUUUUGAUAGAAAAAUCAGUAGCAUAGAAUAUAAGGAACUGCCUCUUACUCGGAAUUAAUCUUAAUUUCUGACUGACUCUUAAAAUUUAAAGUGAAAAAUAAACAAGAUAAAUUAUGAAAAUAAGUAACAUCCAUGAUUAUUGCUUAUUUUAAUUAUAGAAAUCACAAGAGACUCUUGAAUGAGGCAUUGGUUAAUUUUUCAAUUUAUUUGCCGGAGCAAAUACAUACGCUAUUACUGGGCAAUAGAAAAAUCACCAACAAAGGAGGUCAAAGAAAUGAGAAGUGAAGAUUGCCAAGGCAUUUGAUACUAAUUCUAAAUAACUACAGAAUACUUACAGUUUUAAUAAAAAAGAAACAUGAGAAGUUAGGAAAAUAAUUAACCAUAGUAAGUAAUUGAUAUAUGACUGACUAUAGAUGUUCCAAGAGACUCUCGAAUUAGGCAUCAGUUGAUAUUCUUCCAAUGUACAUGCUAAAUCAAGUACACAAUCACCAGGCGAUGGACAAAAAGAGGACAUUCGACAAAAGAGGUCAAAGAACGUGAAAUGAAAGUUGCCUGUGUCUUGGAAGUUUUCCAAAAUAACAAAUAUACACAAAAUACAGAGUGAACAAGAAACAAGAAACAUUAGAAAAGUAAAUAAUUUCCAAGGUAACUGAUUUGACUUGCAACAGAAAUCAUAAGAGACCUUUGAAUGAUUCAUCCCUUAACGUUUGAAUUUGUGCAGAGCACCGUCCGCUUAAGUAUUCUCUACAAUAGAAAAGUCAGCACCGGAAGCGGACAGAGAAAGAAUAUUAUAGAUUGUCCGUGUCUAAGUAUUAAUUUCAAGUAUUCAGUAGACUCUUAAAGUUUUUGACAUUAUUUUAAAAAUGAAAAUAUAAAAAGAAAGAAACAAGGAGCUAGAGUUAGGAUGUCAGAAAAAGUAAAUUAUGUACAUGGUAGGUAAUUUAGAUACCUAAACAAAGUUCAAAUUUUGGAAAAAAUAAAUUAUGCCCAUGGUAGGUAAUUUAGAUACCUAAACAAAGUUCAAGUUUAUGAGGUUACUUAGGUACCUAGUUUUUUUUUUCCCUAAAAUAAUUUAGUCAUGAAGAAAUAAGAAGAAGGGGAGAAUAGAGGCAUUGCACGAUUAUCUACAGGAAUGGAUCACUCUUGCAGGAU